GAUGAACGCUGGCGGCGUGCUUAACACAUGCAAGUCGAACGAUGAAGCCCAGCUUGCUGGGUGGAUUAGUGGCGAACGGGUGAGUAACACGUGAGUAACCUGCCCUUAACUCUGGGAUAAGCCUGGGAAACUGGGUCUAAUACCGGAUAGGAGCGUCCACCGCAUGGUGGGUGUUGGAAAGAUUUAUCGGUUUUGGAUGGACUCGCGGCCUAUCAGCUUGUUGGUGAGGUAAUGGCUCACCAAGGCGACGACGGGUAGCCGGCCUGAGAGGGUGACCGGCCACACUGGGACUGAGACACGGCCCAGACUCCUACGGGAGGCAGCAGUGGGGGAUAUUGCACAAUGGGCGCAAGCCUGAUGCAGCGACGCCGCGUGAGGGAUGACGGCCUUCGGGUUGUAAACCUCUUUCAGUAGGGAAGAAGCGAAAGUGACGGUACCUGCAGAAGAAGCACCGGCUAACUACGUG
rnacentral:rRNA from 1 species